AAGCGUGCGCAGGCGGUUAUGUAAGACAGAUGUGAAAUCCCCGGGCCUCAACCUGGGAACUGCAUUUGUGACUGCAUGGCUAGAGUACGGUAGAGGGGGAUGGAAUUCCGCGUGUAGCAGUGAAAUGCGUAGAUAUGCGGAGGAACACCGAUGGCGAAGGCAAUCCCCUGGACCUGUACUGACGCUCAUGCACGAAAGCGUGGGGAGCAAACAGGAUUAGAUACCCCAGU
rnacentral:rRNA from 1 species